rnacentral:lncRNA from 1 species
AGCCCGCGGUCCUCAGCCGCCCACAGAACAGGAGCCGAAACAACCGUUUCCGAAGGCUACAGCGUUUAUUUUUCUCUUUUGGGGAAUUUUGGCGGUUGUUUCAGGGGCUAGCCAACUGGCCCCUUUAAUUAAAAGCUUCAAUAAAAGGCGAUCGCUCCAGGAAUGCACCGGCUUCUCUUCGUGCAGGAUUUGCAUAUUUUUUUAAUGCCCUAAUUUCCUUGAUGUAUGUAAAUGUAGCCGGACGUAGAGGGAGACAGGGAGCUGACGUCAAUGGACGUGACCUCGCAGCUAAACCUUGAACGUGAAGCCGGGAUGGGGGAAAACACGGAGCGGCAGCCGGUGGAGCCCGAAAGCAUGUGUGGCUGUAUUUUCGGUGGCCGAGCCCCAGCCGGAGCUGCCAAGGGCUCCCCUAGCAGCCCCAGGGGAGGACAAGCCGCUGCCCCGUGGCAGUUGCCAGCCUUCCCACCACAUUCGCAGACUCUGGUUCUGCUCCUUCAGCCCCACUAAAUACAGGUUCUUUUUUUCUCUCCCGGGGAGGGUUGGGGAGAAAGAAAGAAAAUAGAAAAGAAAAGAAACAAACACACACCUAAAACAACAAACCGAAAACAACAGAUAACAAAAUCAACGAAUCCCAAGCGUUUCAGAACAACGCUUGGGUCGCUUGUCCAGUAAAAAGAUUGACAAUAGGACAUUAUUCUUUUUUUUUUUUUUUUCUUGUCUCCACAAGAAGAGGAGAGGGAGCAAACAGACACCAGCAAAGCAUUCCUGUAACACGAUGUGCUACACAAGUUCCCAGUAGCGACAGACGCCUAAAGGAGCCUGUUUGUGUGCUGUGUGGCCACGUUCUGCUGUGACUGGAUCUUGUCUUCUGCCUGGCUCCUCGAUUUCCGUCCGGCUGGAUUUGGGGACAACACUGCCUGGCGCAGACAGAUCAAAUGACACUUCAAAGAAGCAUAAAAUGAACAGACUAUUCAAACAAAGACCGGGGCAGCAGUACGCCAGCAAGAGGGCAUGCUCUGCCCGCCUAGAAGUCCUAAGAAAUCGAGGAUCUCCCUUAAAACAUUCACAUACAAGAUAUGUGCAAUCAAGCUGCCUGCACUUGGUAAAAAAGAUCAUGAUGCCUAACCCAAUGAUCCGGAGCAGAUCUUUGAAUCAGCUGUCACUUCUAUAGAAUGGGAUUUCCCCCUUCUUCCUCUUUAACCAGCGUUGGAAACUGCCGAUGGCUUUAUACAUCUCAGUAGAGGAAGGCUAAAGAAUCUUCCGUGAGAAUGAAGCAAUUUACAAUGCAAAUAGAGGCCUGUGAAGAGAAGGACACUGCUGCUCACCCCCAACAGCUUGCUGCACCUUAGUCUCUGGUCUUAAUUUCUGAUACUCAUAGAUGAAUUGUUGGCUAACGAUACUGGAGAUUACUUGCUGGAAGGGGAAAAGUUUGGAAUAAACUCUGAAUGCAACAGAUCUCAUUUGGAUGUUCUAGCCGCACACACUAAGACAGAAACCAGGUCAUGUUUACAUGAAAGGAGAAGCUUAAACGCGGCAAGUACCCCGGAGGACUACGCUUCCCUAAAGCCAAAGAGGAUCGAGAUCUGGAGUUCAGCCAGAGGAAGGCAGCCUUGUGAGGGAAGCGAGUUGUUA